GUAGGGAGCAAACGUUGUCCGGAUUUAUUGGGCGUAAAGGGCUCGUAGGCGGUUCAACAAGUCGGUCGUGAAAACCCGGGGCUCAACCCCCGGGACGCCGGUCGAAACUGUUGUGACUAGAGUUCGGUAGAGGUGAGUGGAAUUCUCGGUGUAGCGGUGGAAUGCGCAGAUAUCGAGAGGAACACCAUUAGCGAAGGCGGCUCACUGGGCCGAUACUGACGCUGAGGAGCGUAAGCGUGGGGAGCAAACAGGAUUAGAUACCCUGGUAGUCCACGCCGUAAACGAUGAACACUAGGUGUGGCGGACUGAUUCAUGUCGGCUGCGCCGUAGCUAACGCAUUAAGUGUUCCGCCUGGGGAGUACGGCCGCAAGGCUA
rnacentral:rRNA from 1 species